rnacentral:rRNA from 1 species
AUGGAAAGCAAUAGAGCCCCUGGUCCUGAUAACAUACCAGCAGAAUUCUAUAAGCACUGCUGGGAUUUUGUCAAAGGUGAUAUUAUGCGGCUGUUCGAAGCAUUCCACGAUAAUACCCUAAAUGUGGCUCGGUUAAACUAUGGGAUCAUUACCCUAAUUCCAAAAAUAAAUGGGGCGAAGAAGAUUCAGCAGUAUCGCCCCAUUUGUCUCCUUAGGUGCCCUUAUAAACUGAUCACUAAAGUCUUGGAUAAUAGAGUCGCUGUGUUUGCUAACAAACUGAUUAGUAAAUACCAGAAUGCUUUCAUGAAGCACAGAAACAUCAUGGAUGGUAUCCUCACCCUCCAUGAAGUGUUACACCAUACUCAUCAUAAGAAGAAAACUGGGAUUAUUUUGAAGUUGGAUUUCGAAAAGGCGUAUGACAAGAUAAACUGGGACUUCCUUCUUGAAUGUCACCGCAAUCGUGGUUUUGGGCUGACCUGGUGUGGUUGGGUGGAAUUUUUUUACACAAUGGCACUCUAA